rnacentral:rRNA from 1 species
AACGAACGCUGGCGGUAUGCUUAACACAUGCAAGUCGAACGAACAAAAUUGGGGCUUGCUCCAAUUUUAGUGAGUGGCAAACGGGUGAGCAACACGUGGGAAUCUACCUAUCAGUACGGAAUAACAUUUGGAAACAGAUGCUAAUACCGUGUAUUCUCCAAGGAGGAAAGAUUUAUCGCUGAUAGAUGAGCCCGCGUAAGAUUAGGUAGUUGGUAGGGUAAUGGCCUACCAAGCCGACGAUCUUUAGCUGGUCUGAGAGGAUGAUCAGCCACACUGGGACUGAGACACGGCCCAGACUCCUACGGGAGGCAGCAGUGGGGAAUAUUGGACAAUGGGCGAAAGCCUGAUCCAGCAAUACCGCGUGAAUGAUGAAGGCCUUAGGGUUGUAAAGUUCUUUUAGUUGGAAAGAUAAUGACGGUACCUACAGAAAAAGCCCCGGCUAACUCCGUGCCAGCAGCCGCGGUAA